UCUGAGGAAGACUCUCCGAUUCCCCAGCAG
rnacentral:piRNA from 1 species